GGUGGGAGGCUCAGUGGUAGAGCAUGUGCUUAGCAUGCAUGAGGUCCUGGGUUCAAUCCCCAGUACCUCCA
rnacentral:tRNA from 1 species